GGUCCAUUUGGUAAAGUAAAUCCAUUGGGCAUCUUUCUUCGCCUUUAGACAAUAUUUCUGAUGGCAAAAGAACCAAAUGGGACAGGAAAAAAAAAAAUCUCCUGGCACAGAUGGUUUAACUGCAGAGUUUUAAAAAUCAUUUUCUAAUCUCGUGGCUCCGUUCUUACUGCAGGUUUUCAUAGAAAGUAUAGAGAAUAACACCCUCCCUCCUACUCUUACUCAGGGUCUCAUAACACUUAUUCCAAAGCCAAACAAAGACUUACUUCUUAUUGAUCAUUGGAGACCCAUCUGUCUGCUCAAUAAUGACUAUGAGAUUAUGGCUUUAGUACUUGCUAACAGAAUUAAAGAGUUCUUGGAUACAAUUAUCGAUGAGACACAAUCAGGCUUUAUGAGAAAUAGACACAUUUCUAAUGACAUUAGACUGGUUUUAGAUCUACUUCAUUACUCUGAUUUGGUAUCUGACAAUAGCUUCAUUCUCUUUCUGGAUUUUUUAAAAGGAUUUUGAUACAAUUGAACAUCAAUUUAUUUUCCACUCUUUGGAAAAACAAUUGGCUUUGGAGAAUUUUUCUGUAAAGCUUCAAAACCUUGUACACGAAUUGCAAUAACUCAAUUAAAAUGACUAACGACUCCACCCCGAGAUUUGACCUGUUAUACAAGGAAUCACCAUAGCUGAUAAGGAGCUCAUCAUCAGCCAGCUAGCUAAUGACACCACACUCUUCUUGAAGAAUGCAAAUCAAAUCCGUCCAGCCCUUAGUGUAAUUAGUGAUUUCUCUGAGGCAUCUGGUUUAUGUCUAAACCUAAAAAAAAUAUGAAUUACUAGCAAUUAAAGGCUGCACUGCAAAUGCUAUCUGUAACAUUUCUGUUAAACAAAAAGUCACAUACCCAGGACUGUUAAUAUCCAAAGACCAAAAGUCAAGAUGCUCGUCAAACUUCACUCCAAUUAUACAAAAAACACAAAAAAAGUUCAACCAGUGGCUGCAAAGGGAUUUAUCUCUGAAAGGUAGAGUGUUAAUUACUAAAGCUGAAGGGAUAUCCCGACUGGCAAAUGUUGCUCUCUCCUUACAUCUGCACUCAAAAAAGUAAAAUUUGGGGGUUAUUGCAUUUAUAUGACUCCAACAUGUAAUUUGAACACAAUGAAUUUAUGUUUCUAAGGUGAACCUAAUAAAAUCAUAUGAGAUCUACAUGAAAUUUACCAACUUAACACCUCUUACAUUUAUUCUUGUUGAUAUGACAUGAUAAAAUCUAAUAAGAGUGGUUAGCUUCCUUAAAGACUCGCGAUAUCACAAGAUCACGUGAGAUUUUAAACAACAGGAGGCAGGAAAGCACAUGGUUUGCUUUGCGGUCAUCUUGGAAAGGACGCAGCUGCCAUCCAACCCCAUAAGUGACCGUUGAUGAAAGGGAUCAUUGGCCAUCAUCAAACUGCUGCUGUUGAAGUCAGAAGAGAAUGCAUCCUCAAAGGUCUUAGCGUGUACCUGAAUGAAGAUCCAGAGAAGCUGGUGAAGGAUUACCUGGACGUUGAUAAAAGCAUCGCCACUGCCAUAGCAGAGACGGUUUUGGAAUCUGUAUCAUUUUAUCAGAGGGUGCGGAGCCUGGCGAUGACCCUCUGGAUGUUAUGAUUGUUCUAGAGGGGGUGGAAGUAAUGGGUACACCUUUGAGGUUCUGCAGAAGAUUCUUAUGGAAUUGGAUGCACACAAACUAUCCAACAAAGUACAGGUUCUCAAAACUCUUCUUUCUCGUUGAGAAAUGUUGUCAAUACAACAGCUACACCAUGUAUCUGGACCAUGAACCUGAAAGAACUGCAGACAGAUGAUACCAUGCAUUUUGUAUUCAUGUUGUGAUACACAAAAUUGGUGAUAUUUGUUUUUUUGAAAGUGCAUCUCUUUGACCUUCAAAGUAGUUGUACUGGUAAUCAGAAAAUCACUUGAUUCAGCCGUUCAUUGUGGUUAAAAAAAUGGUUUAAACAGGUUAAGUUUCCACCAUCUCCACUAAUUUUUUUUCUGUGAUAAAACUUGCAUUAGAUGUAUUCUUCACACGUUAUGUGAAAUGUACUAUAGAUACAAUAAAUUGGAGAAAACAAUAAGAUCUGUAUGACAUUUUUUUUUAAUUUAAGUUUUAGAUAUUGUAAUAGUGCAAUGCAUGUUAUCCAGACUCUAGACUUUGUUAAAUACUCCAAAAAAUUACUCUUUAAAUGAACUUAAAAUAAUCAUGGAAAGAAUUUCCACAUUAUUAAAUGGCUUUCUAUUAGCAUUAAACACUUGUGUUGGACUAACAUAAUUUGUAUGAGUUGGUUCAACUCAAUUAACUUAAGUUGGAACCAAAUUUAGUACAUUAGUUGGAGAAAACCUACAGAAUUGAGUUGGAACAAAACCCUUAAAGUUGGAUCAACACUAUUAUCUUAUAUUGGAUUCAAAUGCAGUAAAUAUGUUCAUUCAUCAAUCUUUAAUUAAGUUGGUCCAACUUGAGUACAUUAAGUCGGAAUUACAGAAUUGCAUAAUGCUAAAAUAAAGCAAUUUAAUCACGUGGAAAUUCUUUCCAUGAUUUUUUUAUGUUCAUUUAAAGAGUUAUUUUUUUGAGUGUGGAUAAGAAGAUUAGUAAAGACAUUGACCGCAUGCACUUUAAUUUUAUAUGGAAAAACCAUAAGCAACCAUAAGCAGGUCCUCUUAGCGUGGACCCUCAUUUAUAAACACAACUUCUCACCACACAAAUACCUCAUCUGGAACAACAGAGAUAUUUUAUUUCAAAAUAAAUCACUUUUCCUGGAAACUUGGGUCCAAAAUGGGAUCCUAUUGGUGGCUCAGCUGGUUAAUAAAGAGGGAGUACUGCUUACUUACAAUGAAUUCCUUACACUAUAUAAUUUUCCCAUCAGUGUUUGGGAAUUCUCAAUGGUGCUUGGUGCCAUACCCUCAGGUACACUGAAAAAAAGGCCCUGUUGGAUUUACUUGAUUCAAUAGUGGACAUCGGUUGCACACAAAUGUUUUGCUUUGGCAGAAACUUAAACAAUUGAGUUCAAUCAAC